UACGGAGGAUGCAAGCGUUAUCCGGAAUGAUUGGGCGUAAAGCGUCCGCAGGUGGCAAUGUAAGUCUGCUGUUAAAGAGUCUGGCUCAACUAGAUAAAAGCAGUGGAAACUACAUAGCUAGAGUACGUUCGGGGCAGAGGGAAUUCCUGGUGUAGCGGUGAAAUGCGUAGAGAUCAGGAAGAACACCAGUGGCGAAGGCGCUCUGCUAGGCCGUAACUGACACUGAGGGACGAAAGCUAGGGGAGCGAAUGGG
rnacentral:rRNA from 1 species